AGCUCCAAUAGCGUAUAUUAAAGUUGUUGCAGUUAAAAGCUCGUAGUUGAAUUUCUGGGCUUGCCGAGCGGAAGCCUCUGGCUUUCCGUUCCGCGGGUUCAUCUUCGCCCUUCGGGGCGUCUUUUACUGUGAAAAUUAGAGUGUUUAAAGCAGGCUCAAGGCUUGAAUACAUCAGCAUGGAAUAAUGAGAUAGGACCACGGUGCUAUUUUGUUGGUUGCGUACCGAGGUAAUGGUUAAUAGGGAUAGUUGGGGGUAUUCAAAUUUAAUUGUCAGAGGUGAAAUUCUUGGAUUUGUUAAAGAUGAACAACUGCGAAAGCAUCUACCAAGGAUGUUUUCAUU
rnacentral:rRNA from 1 species